AAAUUUUUCUAGAUUGAUCUCGUGGUUUUCACGCUUAAGCAUUAACGAAUAUUUAAAUUUUGAAUCGUUCUUCUCACUCAAUCUGUUUUUGCAGAUUAGUCGUGAGUUUUGUGUUUUUCCAGUCCAUCACGUGAAUGUGAUGCGUACUACAAGAUAAAUCUCACUGUGUAACGAUUUUGUUACAGACGAAAUAGGUAUCGUGAGAGACAAAUCGCAUAUGUACUACACACAUCCACAUCCUAUGUCAAUCACAUCAUCUAUAAACCGUCCACUGGACUAUUGGUUGAUCUUCACAUCACCAUUCCAAUUCAAACAUCUGCCACACAGUAUGUGGAUUUGUUAUGUCUGUUGCUGAAACUUGCUUAUUUGAGCCAAUUUUUCACACAACUUUGUGAUUUUAAAUUUUUCCUUCCGUUCUUACCCUCGGCAAUUUUUUUCACGUGACAAAUGGCAUCAUACCACGCAUUCCAACGGGUGGCAUUUGGAAUGACAAAUAAAACACCUGGGCGAAAAUUACAAUUACUGCUUGAAAUAAAAUUGAAUGUUUUUGUCUAGGUACCAAGUAACUCUUUCACUUUUUCACUUUGCUGGUCCGACCUACUUUGUUUAUUAAACAAAGACUGGAGCUUUGUUAAUGCUGAAUCAGAUGCUAGCUUGAAAGCAGGAGUUUCUAAAGCCUUUUCUGCGUCUUUGCGAGCAAGCAAGUUCAACAAAUGGGCAACACAUUUACAAUGCCACGGUAACUUGUACCGAUCGUCGGCAUCAUCGUAAUCAAGUAACAAAAAUUCGAGAUCAGUUCCAACCUUUCAAAUUAGAAAACAUUAAAAUUUAUGCUUUUAUUAUAUUUUCAAAUUAAAUACCACAGCGUCAUCGUCCUC